GCCCUAAAAGAAUGUCUGUAACAGCCUCCCUUUCUCCCCACCUCUCACAGGUCAUUUGGCUGUUGAAGAAACUGGAGCACUCGUCCUACGGAAUUACCCAUAUUCCGGGUGUGAAUGAAUGCUUCUCCGUGGGGCUCAUUUCUCUCUCCUCUGUGUUUCAUGAUAGCAGUAGUGUGGCACCAUUGUCAGGCUCACCGUCAUCACGUUUCUACCCCAUGGUCCCAGCAUUGUUGGAAAGGUGGGAGUGUGGACGAUCGAGUGCUAGCUUCUCGAAGUCUAAUUCCCCCAUCAUGUAACUUAAAACCAAGCCUUUCCUCCCUGCCACGUAGAACAAGGACCGCAAUCUGCCGUUGGCACUCAGGUUGGGAAAGUGAUUCUGGUACAAAGACAAUGCACGGACUUGUGCAAUGGCCAAGCAGGGCCAGCCCUGCAGCUGCCCUCAGAGCAGGCAGUUUCUGGAAACAGACCUUUCUGACGGUAAUAAGACAGUCGGAGCGUGAACUUUGCCGCCACGCCUUGAACCACUCACCAGCUGAGAGACCUUGGAGACUCUCCGUAAUGUUUCCACGCCUUAGCUUCCUUCUGAGCUAAACAGAAAGAGCAGCAUGUGUCUCCGUGGGCUACUGUGAAAAGCCAGGGCGUUAAAGCCAAGGGCAAGCCCUGGGUGAGUAACUCCCACAUUCUGGCGGUCAGUCGCAUUGUCCUUUGGUGGCGGGCCCCGUGCCAUGGAGCACGGCACCUCCCUCACACUCAGCAAUUCCCCGUGUCCCUGCCCACCUCUUUCUGAGCCUAACAUGAAAGUGUUAGUUGCUCAGUUGUGUUCAACUCUCUGCAUGUAGCACGCUCCUCUCCUCGGUCCAUGGGAUUCUCCAGGCAAGAAUACUGGAGUGGGUUGCCGUUCUCUCCUCCAGGGGAUCUUCCCGACCCAGGGAUCGAAGCCAGAUCUCCCACAUUGGAGGCAGGUUCUUUACUGUGUGAGCCGCCAGAGAAGGGUCAAUCAACAUAUUUCAUCUCUUUGCUAUAAAGAUGGAGAGGGCAAUGGCACCCCACUCCAGUGCUUUUGCCUGGAGAAUCCCAUGGAUGGAGGAGCCUGGUAGGCUGCAGUCCAUGAGGUCGCUAAGAGUCGGACACGACUGAGUGACAUCACUUUCACUUUUCACUUUCAUGCAUUGGAGAAGGAAAUGGCAACCCACUCCAGUGUUCUUGCCUGGAGAAUCCCAGGGACAGGGGAGCCUGGUGGGCUGCCGUCUAUGGGGUUGCACAGAGUCGGACACGACUGAAGCAACUUAGCAGCAGCAGCAGCUAUAAAGAUUGGAGCAGGGUGAGUGGAUAACUAGUCAAAUGAUUUGACCCCAGCCAUGGCUUUGAUUUGCCCAACUGGGACUUCAGACCGACCCCCAUGGGACCUAUGGGAGCUGGAGCCCCCUGGAGACCUGGCCGGGAAUCCAGGAAGGACAGGUGGGAGGAAGCAGGACUCAGGGGCAUUGUGGGGCUCCUGCCCCAGCCUGCAGCCAGCCCUGUCCCUGCACCGUUUGGGCCCAUGGGCCCAUAAGUUUGCUUUUUGCUUAUGUCAGUUCCGGUCAAACUUUCU
ensembl:lncRNA